GUUAAAAAGCUCGUAGUCGAAUAUAGGUUGUUUGGAUGCGACGAACACUCUUGUUUAACUUGAGAUGCUUGCGCCCAUUAGACCGCCCUUGUGGGGCUCGAUGUUCUUGAUUAUCAAGAACACUCAAUCGAUCCCACACAUUACUGUGAACAAAAUAGAGUGUUCAUGGCAGGCCAUUAGGGCUUGAAUACCGCAGCAUGGAAUAAUAGAAUAGGACUUCCGGUUCUAUUUUAUUGGUUUUUGGAGCCGAAGUAAUGAUUAAUAGGGAUAGUUGGGGGCACUCGUACUCCGUUGUCGGAGGUGAAAUUCUUGGAUUGACGGAAGACGAACAACUGCGAAAGCAUCUGCCAAGGAUGUUUUCAUUGAUCAAGAACGAAAGUUAGGGGAUCGAAGACGAUUAGAUACCGUCGUAGUCCUAACCAUAAAACUAUGCCGACUGGGGAUUGGUAGAUGUA
rnacentral:rRNA from 1 species